UACGUAUGGAGCAAGCGUUAUCCGGAUUUACUGGGUGUAAAGGGAGCGCAGGCGGUCUGGCAAGUCUGAUGUGAAAGGCCGGGGCUCAACCCCGGGACUGCAUUGGAGACUGUCAGACUGGAGUGUCGGAGAGGUAUGCGGAAUUCCUAGUGUAGCGGUGAAAUGCGUAGAUAUUAGGAGGAACACCAGUGGCGAAGGCGGCUUACUGGACGAUGACUGACGCUGAGGCUCGAAAGCGUGGGGAGCAAACAGG
rnacentral:rRNA from 1 species